GAAUUGUUUCUAUUGAGCAAUGCACCCUGGACUGCCUGGGUUAAGUUGGGAGCUAGUCUUUUUACUAAGGAAAGAAACGGUUUAUGUUAGUGAUUAGAGAAAAUCAGUGGAAAUCAUCAAGUUUACGGAUUACUUAAAAGCGUUCAUAUCGUCAAAGUUUCCUAAUCAGAAAACACUUGGAAAUCCAAAAACAGUCGGAGAGGUUGGAAAUGGAAAAAUGGAAUUAAUAAAUUGACGAAAAUGUUGAAAAUGUGUAGCUGGAGAAAGCUGGCCACUAAUAUGGAUCAAAAAAGCUUGCGGAAUCAGGAUAUCGCCUCCGCCAUGUGGAUUUGGAUAGAAUCAAAUUUCGUUAUCAGUAAUUUCGGACGGAAAAAUAAUUUUAAAGGUAGAAAGAUAUAGAUUCAAAUGUACCUGCAAUAAGAUGGAAAUAUUAAGGAGACUUUUCAUGGAAUUUUUUUAUUUACUAAUUCGAAAGGAUAUGAUCUCAAGUUUUUUUUGUGAAAGCAGAAAAAUACACUAUUUGAGAUUGUUCGGCCAUUUA